CAGUAGCCGCGGUAAUACGAAGGUCCCGAGCGUUGUUCGGAAUCACUGGGCGUAAAGGGAGCGUAGGCGGCGUGGUAAGUCAGAUGUGAAAUCCCGGGGCCCAACCCCGGAACUGCAUCCGAUACUGCCAUGCUAGAGGAUUGGAGAGGUAGCUGGAAUUCUUGGUGUAGCAGUGAAAUGCGUGGAGAUCAAGAGGAACACUCGUGGCGAAAGCGAGCUACUGGACAAUAACUGACGCUGAGGCUCGAAGGCCAGGGUAGCGAAAGGGAUUAGAUACCCGGGUAGUCCCUGUCUCUUAUAC
rnacentral:rRNA from 1 species